GACGAACGCUGGCGGCGUGCUUAACACAUGCAAGUCGAACGGACCCUUUGGGGUUAGUGGCGAACGGGUGAGUAACACGUGGGUGAUCUGCCCUGCACUUUGGGAUAAGCCUGGGAAACUGGGUCUAAUACCGGAUAGGACUACGCACUGCAUGGUGUGUGGUGGAAAGCUUUUGCGGUGUGGGAUGGGCCCGCGGCCUAUCAGCUUGUUGGUGGGGUGAUGGCCUACCAAGGCGACGACGGGUAGCCGGCCUGAGAGGGUGACCGGCCACACUGGGACUGAGAUACGGCCCAGACUCCUACGGGAGGCAGCAGUGGGGAAUAUUACACAAUGGGCGCAAGCCUGAUGCAGCGACGCCGCGUGAGGGAUGACGGCCUUCGGGUUGUAAACCUCUUUCGCCAGGGACGAAGCGCAAGUGACGGUACCUGGAGAAGAAGGACCGGCCAACUACGUGCCAGCAGCCGCGGUAAUACGUAGGGUCCGAGCGUUGUCCGGAAUUACUGGGCGUAAAGAGCUCGUAGGUGGUUUGUCGCGUUGUUCGUGAAAACUCACAGCUUAACUGUGGGCGUGCGGGCGAUACGGGCAGACUGGAGUACUGCAGGGGAGACUGGAAUUCCUGGUGUAGCGGUGGAAUGCGCAGAUAUCAGGAGGAACACCGGUGGCGAAGGCGGGUCUCUGGGCAGUAACUGACGCUGAGGAGCGAAAGCGUGGGGAGCGAACAGGAUUAGAUACCCUGGUAGUCCACGCCGUAAACGGUGGGUACUAGGUGUGGGUUUCCUUCCUUGGGAUCCGUGCCGUAGCUAACGCAUUAAGUACCCCGCCUGGGGAGUACGGCCGCAAGGCUAAAACUCAAAGGAAUUGACGGGGGCCCGCACAAGCGGCGGAGCAUGUGGAUUAAUUCGAUGCAACGCGAAGAACCUUACCUGGGUUUGACAUGCACAGGACGCCGGCAGAGAUGUCGGUUCCCUUGUGGCCUGUGUGCAGGUGGUGCAUGGCUGUCGUCAGCUCGUGUCGUGAGAUGUUGGGUUAAGUCCCGCAACGAGCGCAACCCUUGUCUCAUGUUGCCAGCACGUUAUGGUGGGGACUCGUGAGAGACUGCCGGGGUCAACUCGGAGGAAGGUGGGGAUGACGUCAAGUCAUCAUGCCCCUUAUGUCCAGGGCUUCACACAUGCUACAAUGGCCGGUACAAAGGGCUGCGAUGCCGUGAGGUGGAGCGAAUCCUUUCAAAGCCGGUCUCAGUUCGGAUCGGGGUCUGCAACUCGACCCCGUGAAGUCGGAGUCGCUAGUAAUCGCAGAUCAGCAGCGCUGCGGUGAAUACGUUCCCGGGCCU
rnacentral:rRNA from 1 species